rnacentral:rRNA from 1 species
ACGGGGCCCGCACAAGCGGUUGGAGCAUGUGGUUUAAUUCGAUGCAACGCGAAGAACCUUUACCUGGUCUUGACAUCCACGGAAGUUUUCAGAGAUGAGAAUGUGCCUUCGGAACCGUGAGACAGGUGCUGCAUGGCUGUCGUCAGCUCGUGUUGUGAAAUGUUGGGUUAAGUCCCGCAACGAGCGCAACCCUUAUCCUUUGUUGCCAGCGGUCCGGCCGGGAACUCAAAGGAGACUGCCAGUGAUAAACUGGAGGAAGGUGGGAUGACGUCAAGUCAUCAUGGCCCUUACGACCAGGGCUACACACGUGCUACAAUGGCGCAUACAAAGAGAAGCGACCUCGCGAGAGCAAGCGGACCUCAUAAAGUGCGUCGUAGUCCGGAUUGGAGUCUGCAACUCGACUCCAUGAAGUCGGAAUCGCUAGUAAUCGUGGAUCAGAAUGCCACGGUCGAAUACGUUCCCGGGCCUU